rnacentral:rRNA from 1 species
AUUGAACGCUGGCGGCAGGCCUAACACAUGCAAGUCGAACGGUAACAGGAAACAGCUUGCUGUUUCGCUGACGAGUGGCGGACGGGUGAGUAAUGUCUGGGAAACUGCCUGAUGGAGGGGGAUAACUACUGGAAACGGUAGCUAAUACCGCAUAACGUCGCAAGACCAAAGAGGGGGACCUUCGGGCCUCUUGCCAUCGGAUGUGCCCAGAUGGGAUUAGCUAGUAGGUGGGGUAACGGCUCACCUAGGCGACGAUCCCUAGCUGGUCUGAGAGGAUGACCAGCCACACUGGAACUGAGACACGGUCCAGACUCCUACGGGAGGCAGCAGUGGGGAAUAUUGCACAAUGGGCGCAAGCCUGAUGCAGCCAUGCCGCGUGUAUGAAGAAGGCCUUCGGGUUGUAAAGUACUUUCAGCGGGGAUGAAGGGAGUAAAGUUAAUACCUUUGCUCAUGGACGUUACCCGCAGAAGAAGCACCGGCUAACUCCGU